rnacentral:tRNA from 1 species
GAAAUAAAUUAAUAAAGCUUCUAACUUUAACAUUAGAUACAAAAAAUAUCUUUAUUUCU